UGAGGUCGGGCGAUGAUAGCUUUUCUCAACAGAAAAAAAUGAGGAAUCCGAUGCAGGAUGUAAACAAUGAAUCGAUGAUUUAAUUUGUCUCUUGAUAGUACAACAAAAUGAGUGGGCAAAGGAAACAAUAAAUGGCAAAAAACACACAGAAAAUAGACCUGAGAUGGCUAGUUAGACAGAACUGAACAGUUUGAAAACUGCUCUACCUGUGCCACACCCCCUUAUCCACCUUUUCCCCAUUUUCCCAGGCUGCCCAUAGCCACUCCCAAAUCAAAGAGCAAAACCUGUCAAUCAACCAUAUUCAAUCAAUCAGUUCAACCAAAAUAACAAUGGUCAUUGUAAGUAAGAGUUAUUAUUGUCAUUAAAUCAUAAAAAAAUCUCAUUACGUGCUCCUACACAUGUAACCUGAUAACAUGAUAAACUGUCCACUGUCGUAACCGCUGUCCCUGAAAGGGUUGAUAUUAAUUUAUUCCAGAUUUCCCUCAUCAACAUGUGUUGGAAUUGGACAAAUGCUGGCUACAGUGGUGGUUCUAAGGGUUGGCAAAAUGUUGGGCGUCAUUUCCUUUCCAGAUAUGGACUCAGGUAUCCCACGUAAGAUCUUUCCACUGCCUCUACUCCAUGCUGGGAAUCAGAUAUCCGGACUGUUUGGGACUCAGCGACUUAAGUUUGUUUCUAAGAAUUAGACUCUGUUUCCACCAAGCUGUACAGUUUUGUUCUGUUGAAACAGGGUCAGGGUUGAAAAAAGUAGUCUGUCUAAUUUGACAAAGUAACAAGUACAAGUUUUGUAUUCAGAUAUAUAGAGUAAAAAGUCAUCAGGAAACUAAAUAGUAGGGAUGGGCGAGCACCGAUACUAUGUAUCGGUAUCGGGCCGAUACCAGCCUUUUUUUUUUUAGGUAUCGGGUAUCGUGGAGUAUCUCGAUACCAGCUCCCGGAAAUUAAAGGUAAAAUAAAUAAAUAAAUAAACAAUCGGACAUCAAGGAAGUUUGACACAUCGGCGAACUAUCAUUUGCAUCAAAAAGGUCACUUUUUUUGCCAUUGUGUUUAAUGCAAUUUUAUGUUCAAAUGUACUCGAGAGCUUGUUGUUAGUACAUUCAUAUUUGGAUUAAGGAAAGAAUUAAAAUAAUUUAUACAAGUUGCUCAAAAUAAGGCAGCAAGAAUUGUUUUGGGUUGCCCAUGUCGAACAAAUGUUACAAAAAUUUAGACUUAGAUAAUGUUAAGAACAUUUCUUAGGAAUAUUAUUUUACCUGGAAUAUGUAUGACACUUGGCGGUUUUGCUAACACUCUUCUUCUUCCUGCA